rnacentral:rRNA from 1 species
ACGAGCGCAACCCUUGUCUUUAGUUACCAUCAUUAAGUUGGGGACGUCUAGAGAGACUGCCGGUGAUAAACCGGAGGAAGGUGGGGAUGACGUCAAAUCAUCAUACCCCUUAUGGCCUGGGCUACAAACGUAAUACAAUGGCGUAUACAAAGGGAUGCGAAAGGGCGACCUGGAGCAAAACUCACAAAGUACGUCUCAGUUCAGGUUGGAGUCUGCAACUCGACUCCAUGAAGGCGGAAUCGCUAGUAAUCGCGGAUCAGCAUGCCGCGGUGAAUACGUUCUCGGGGUUU